UUGGGAGGGGAUUAACUUUUGACAGUGGUGGCUACAACCUCAAGACUGGAGUUGGUUCGAAGAUUGAGCUAAUGAAGUAUGACAUGGGAGGGGCUGCCACUGUUUUAGGUGCAACAAAAGCUCUUGGUGAAAUUAGGCCUUUUGGAGUAGAGGUGCAUUUCAUUGUUGCAGCUUGUGAAAAUAUGAUCAGUGGAGCAGGCAUGAGGCCUGGUGACAUUGUCA